rnacentral:rRNA from 1 species
AAUGGGCGCAAGCCUGAUCCAGCAAUGCCGCGUGGGUGAAGACGGCCUGCGGGUUGUAAAGCCCUUUAGGCGGGGAGGAACGACCGGACGCUAACAUCGUCUGGAAGAGACGUUACCCGCAGAAUAAGCACCGGCUAACUCCGUGCCAGCAGCCGCGGUAAUACGGAGGGUGCGAGCGUUAAUCGGAAUUACUGGGCGUAAAGCGUGCGUAGGCGGUGGGGUCAGUCAGCCGUGAAAGCCCUGGGCUUAACCUGGGAACGGCGGUUGAGACGGCCCGACUUGAGUGGGCUAGAGGAUCGUGGAAUUCCGGGUGUAGCGGUGAAAUGCGUAGAGAUCCGGAGGAACACCGAUGGCGAAGGCAGCGGUCUGGGGCCACACUGACGCUGAGGCACGACGGCGUGGGGAGCAAA